UGUGGUGCUCUGUUGUCGUUUGCAAGUAUGUCUUAUAAUAUUCAAGCUCGUAUAUAAACCGCUGCCAAUUUAAUAAAUUUAUGUAUUCUCUCCAAAUUUCUCUCGGAUAGCUUUCAAUGUUAGCAAUAUUUUUAGUCAGUUUUUGUAAUAUGGAAUAUGUGUAAUGUACUCCUUAUUCACUAUUAUGGCGCCUGCAAGAUCACCGGACUGCAUGACAAUCGUAUUGGUAUAUUUGUUGUACAGCACAUUUCAGUUUUGUCAAGUUCCUUCUGCCAACUGUGAAUGCAUUUCUAAUUACACAAACGGCUGGAACGAAUAUCAUUGCGAUACCAAUAUCUUUAGGAUGAUGGCGGCGGUGAACGUCUCAAAAAUUUCGGCUCUAGUGCAGAUGGUUUAUUUUUGGUGUAACCUGCGAGGCACAUAUUGCUACGGGUUGCCGCGGAAUGUGUCUGCUCUGCUGUUUCUAGGCGUGUUAUAUAAAAUGACCUUGGAAGGAUUAAUUGCCACUGAUGCUGACAGGAUUCCCAUCACCCAGUUUCUAGCUAACAAUAAACAUAUCAUAAAGUUUUUGGUGAUUAGAAAUAGCCAUAUUAAUAACAUCGACCGAGACUUUCUCGUUGGGUUUUCAGUGCUGCGCACCCUUGACUUGAGUCACAACGAUAUUUAUUCUAUCAGUGCCGAUAGUUUUGAAAGUUUAACGGACGGCCUUCCGAUUUUAAAUAGCUUAGAUCUGGAGCAUAACCAAUUUGAAGAAUUCGACUGGAGCGUAAUUUAUCCAUUAAGAAACUGUUUGGUAAGUUGUUACUUCCGGUAUCGUUAUAAUGUGUAUAGAAAUAACGAGGUUACGAGCUUUACAUGCAAUUUGGGGGCUACGGCCCACUCCAAAGGAGAAAUUAGCAGCAAAGAAGGCCGCUGGAUUUGAUCAAAUUCAAAUUUUCUUGCUAUGAAGCAGCCAGAAUAGAUACCUUUCCGAAAAAUAUUUAGGAGACCCUCCGUCUCGUGAAUCAACAACCAGGGUUGCGCAACUUAUACCACAGUGGAUCCACCUUUCAAACGUCUAUCCAGCUGUUAUUCCUGGGAUUUAAUCGUCUAACAUCAAUCCCUGACUGGAUUUUAUAUAAUAUUGGCCUGAAGAAUUCCAGCAUGCGCCUUUUCAGUUUUCACUCCAAUGCCUUUUGUGAAAAUGCUGCCGAGGAGAAUCCUGGUUGUGGUUGCUGCGACAUGGAAAAUUUAGUGCGCUGGACGCUGAAUGUUUCUAGCGAAAUUUCGCCGCCGUUGAUCUGGUUCAGCUUGAAGUGCGGGAUGUUCGUGAGGACAAUUACUAAUGACCCCAGUGUAGUGGCAGCCAACCAUGGUUUCCCAAUCACGACGCUGGGGAAUUCGUUCGAGCAUUGCCAAAGCAAAACCACAACCAAGUUGCCGCCAAUAAUCACCGUCCUUUCCACUUUUAAAUCACCAUCUUCUAAUACCCACGUAAUUAAUACCGACUUUCGUUGCGAAAAUGGAAACUCGCUCAAGAUCAACUGUUCCGCGGGCCGUUUGCAACUCUCGGAACCUGACCUGUUUCGUGCCACGGCCGCCGAAGCCAUUUUCUCUAGUGACGGAACAUUCAGCUGCAUCAGCAAGCUCUACGAUCUCCACUUAAUGGUGCUGGAAAUGCUGGAAAUCUCUCCCCGGACGGAACCGAUGACUGGCCGCCAAGAUAUCAUCCAGGUCCAAUGUCGAAACCGGCUCUUUAGCAUCAACACACGUGACCCGGAAACGUCUGGUGCUAGCAAACUGGUAUUCCGCACCGAUUUAUAUCCUCAAUGCUUUGAUAAAUUCACACAUUUUCUUCGCUACAUCAACGACAAUUUCAUCACUGAAGCAGAAGUUGCUGCUCCCGACUUAGUAGUCGAACACGAGUUUUCUUUAAGCGCCGGGAAAAAUUGCAGUGGGUCCAAUUUGCAAGGAGACAUUGUGUCGGUUAACUGUACAGAUGGAGUCUUUGUAUUUUCACACAACAACGACUCCGCCACUGCCGCGAUUGGUGUCACAGUUCGCAGUGACGAAUCUUUGGACUGCCGCGUGACUUUUGCAGCGAUCCACGAAUACAUCUUGCACGAAGCGGAAUCUACUAUCUACGCACCGGAUGUACCGUUGCCCAAAGCCAUUGUUGCCGUUUGCCAUAACGGUCAUGGAUUUGUAUCAGAAGGCCAGCCACGGCGAUCUAAGAAACUGGUGCUGGAGUACUUCUCAACGCCAAGUAGACGGUGCCGUGAUACUUUUAUCCGGUUUUUAACGUAUCUUUUCAAAUUAUAGCCCUCAAUUUUCUAGCUUUUUUAAUAUUUAUUUCAGUUGAAAUGUAUGGCUGUGUUCAUUGUCAAGUAAUAUUUCUGGUCGUUGCAAAUGCACGAAAUGUCUGAGCGUCGGGUAUGAACAAACUAAUAUUAUUUCCAUUCACAUUAUUUUUCGAUCUCAAAAACAGCAAACAACUGAUUCACGGAUAAUCGUAGCUCUUACUUAUUUGGCUUAUUUAUUUUUAGUUGGCUUGUUUAUUCUAUUACUGCAUUAAGGGAAUGGAAUCAACAAGUAUUUUAGUAUUAAUUAUUUAUUUCUAAUGAACUGGAUUGUACUGUAAUACGCAGAACCUGGAUGCUGAUGUAAAUAAACGCUUACAUUGCGCGUUAUAACAGGAAUUGUAAUUCUAUUUUGUGUUAUGAUGCUAUCGAAGAAGACGAUUAACAAAUACGAUAAUCAGCAAAGACUUGAUUAUUUUUCAGCUAUCGACAAAAGUUGGCUAUGUAACAGUAGUAAUUUCGCUCGCUUUUAAAGUUAAGUGAAACAGCAGUUAUCAUACGCCGCUUUUGCUGUGUCACGGACACGAUGAACACAGCAAAACCCAAAAACGUCUUUAUAAAGACGCUCUCUCAAUGAACAGCUGUCCAGUGACUUCUGUUCUAGACACUUUCGCCACCCGGUUUUCCUUCUUUCGUUACAAUGCGCGCGACGCUUGCGCGACGUUGGCAGCUUAUAGUACCUGCCAUCCUGUUCAGUGCGUUUGAAUCAGCGCACGUUCUCGGCGCCAGCGAAAUAACCAAUCAUGACUGCGCCUAUAACCGAUACAAUGACCUUGAGUGCUAUGCAGAAGCUUACAAGCUUAAUUAUGGACACGCUGAACGUUUCCAGUAUCAGAGCAUCGGCACAAGGUGUCAGUUUCAGCUGCCGUAAUUCUCAACGCGGCGCCUACUGCUACGGAUUAUCGCCGAAUGUGACGCCUUUGCCGCGCCGCCCCGGAUUCACCACAUAUGGUGUUUCCUUUGACGGAUUCAACGCAACGGAUGGCGGCCGCAUUCCUCUCAACCGCUUUCUAAGUGAAAAUAAAGACAUCAUCAGAUUUAUUACGAUUCGAAACAGUCAGAUUGGGUAUAUUGAUCGGGAAUUUUUCGCUGGAUUAGCGGACCUUCGGAGCUUGGAUCUUCGCGAGAACAACAUUCGCAGCAUCACCGCGGAUGCCUUCGAAGGUUUGACUGACGGAAGCAGCUAUCAACCGGUGAUGGUUGCGCUCGACCUUGGGUACAAUCAGCUGGAGCAAUUCGAUUGGAGCGCACUUUACCCGUUAAAAGACUGUUUGGAGAUCCUCAAUUUAAAUCACCAAACAACAGGACUGAAGACGAUAACCCGUACCGGCUUGAACACUUAUGCAAGUCUUCUUCGGGCGCUAGAUUUGCGAGGAAACCGCUUACAAUUCCUUCCUGACUGGCUUCUGUACAACAUCGGUCUUGAUAGCUCCAGUUCACGAUUUUUUGACUUUCGCUACAACGCCUUCGCGAAAAUGCCGCUGAAGCUAUCCAUGGUUGCGGGUGUUGCGAUGUAGAAAAUUUGGUGCGCUGGGCGAAGAACGUCACAGCGGAUUUCGUCAAUGAGUUAUCACGGGCAUCUGUCUGGUUCAGCAUGGUUUGUGGAGAAAAACCAGUACAAUUCACUUAUGAUGCAGCGCACAUUGCUUCCGAUUAUGCAACCUCUAUUGCGCUGCUGGAGAACACGUUCGAACAUUGCGGCUCUACAGCUGUUUCCCGCUAACGGCCCGGCCUCCGACGCUGGCAUUAUUUGCUUUAAUGACCGGUUGCCGGGAGAACUUUCCUUUUAUGCAUGACUGAAAUUUGCUACCCGGUCACCGCCCUGGGCACGGCCAUCUCCAAAAACCAGAUCAGCGCCACUGACCGUGGAAUACCGAGAAAUAUUGACUUUCCUUCGCGAACAGUUCUUAGAUUUUUUCUCUCAAUACUAUAUUGUAUUCUGCGUUGAUGCACCUCCAAAAUCGAAGACCUUACAUUGCGAUACAUUUGUAUUACGAACAAAUGACAAAAACUACAUCAGCAACGUGGCACUUCGUCACUUCCGUGUGCUAUUGCGUUGCAAUCUGCAUAACUGGGAUCAUGGCUGAUAAAACGUUGAUACCGUUUAUGUUUCAAAGCAGAACCUGUAUUCGUCUUUGUUAACAUAAUGACGAUGGCAACUGCAAAGCGACUAUAAAGCACUGACUGAUUCUGCGUGGAAUAUUCGGAAGCACUUGAAGUCUACUGCAAGUAUUGUGCUUUUUCUAGCGUUGCGACACUACGAAAUCGCUGCUGUCGUCUCACUUUUUUCUCCGCCGUAGUGCCUUAAUUUUGCUUGAGCUUGGUUGAAAAAUGAGUACCAAAACGCUUUUAUUUGCCGUUGUUGUGACUGUAUUCGCGGCUGGGCACGCAUCAGAGGCGCAACACAAGCUAACUGGAAACGAGCAUAUGGGCGCUCACUCCGGCGUGAAUGCUGAACCGAUUUCGGCGGAAUCAAAUCGAGCCACAACAAGUAUACAAUGGGGCUGGACCGACAUGACCGGCACAAUGUUCUUUGACGCGGAGCACUGGGUGACCUACUAUUGUAAUUUGUACAACUAUCAGUCGCUGGAGCCACUUACCAAUGGAAUCAUUGGAAGCCUAAGAAGCCGCUACAGCAACUAUUACUGGCACGUGGUGGUCGCAAGCGGCUCCUGUGGUUCUCAUAUAUCAAUGGACAGCCAUCCCGGAACCAAGUAUCAAGCAAUCUGCAAGGGCCACUGGUGGACUAUCUGGGGUCUUAAUCGGACAAUCACUUCCUCUUCCCAGGUGUGAAUGCAUUUUAUUCUCACUCCCUGAGUUCCAGGACAGCCAACAUCAUCUUCUAAAACUACAGAAAGAUAACCGACAUGCUUCAUCUUGUGUUUUACCAAAUGUUAAAAAAAAUUUCACGACCUUCCUCGCACGACUUUAAAAUCGUUUGAUCUUUGAUAUAACUGCAACACAAACCGUAAAACUGAUUGUCGCGAGAAAAAAAGCUGUACAAGCAUUGCCGAAGUAAAGAAUUUUUUGAAACUUUAAAAUACAUAUUGUCCAAGAUUCAUUUUAA